rnacentral:rRNA from 1 species
GACGAACGCUGGCGGCGUGCCUAAUACAUGCAAGUAGAACGCUGAAGGUGGAGCUUGCUCUUCUGGAUGAGUUGCGAACGGGUGAGUAACGCGUAGGUAACCUGCCUGGUAGCGGGGGAUAACUAUUGGAAACGAUAGCUAAUACCGCAUAAGAGUAGAUGUUGCAUGACAUUUGCUUAAAAGGUGCAAUUGCAUCACUACCAGAUGGACCUGCGUUGUAUUAGCUAGUUGGUGGGGUAACGGCUCACCAAGGCGACGAUACAUAGCCGACCUGAGAGGGUGAUCGGCCACCCUGGGACUGAGACACGGCCCAGACUCCUACGGGAGGCAGCAGUAGGGGAUCUUCGGCAAUGGACGGAAGUCUGACCGAGCAACGCCGCGUGAGUGAAGAAGGUUGUCGGAUCGUAAAGCUCUGUUGUAAGAGAAGAACGAGGGUGAGAGUGGAAAGUUCACACUGUGACGGUAUCUUACCAGAAAGGGACGGCUAACUACGUG